rnacentral:rRNA from 1 species
UUAAGCGACUAAGCGUACACGGUGGAUGCCCUGGCAGUCAGAGGCGAUGAAGGACGUGCUAAUCUGCGAAAAGCGUCGGUAAGGUGAUAUGAACCGUUAUAACCGGCGAUGUCCGAAUGGGGAAACCCAGUGCAAUUCGUUGCACUAUCGUUAACUGAAUACAUAGGUUAACGAGGCGAACCGGGGGAACUGAAACAUCUAAGUACCCCGAGGAAAAGAAAUCAACCGAGAUUCCCCCAGUAGCGGCGAGCGAACGGGGAGCAGCCCAGAGUCUGAAUCAGCUUGUGUGUUAGUGGAACGGUCUGGAAAGUCCGACGGUACAGGGUGAUAGUCCCGUACACCAAAAUGCACAGGCUGUGAACUCGAAGAGUAGGGCGGGACACGUGGUAUCCUGUCUGAAUAUGGGGGGACCAUCCUCCAAGGCUAAAUACUCCUGACUGACCGAUAGUGAACCAGUACCGUGAGGGAAAGGCGAAAAGAACCCCGGCGAGGGGAGUGAAAAAGAACCUGAAACCGUGUACGUACAAGCAGUGGGAGCACCUUCGGGUGUGACUGCGUACCUUUUGUAUAAUGGGUCAGCGACUUAUAUUCUGUAGCAAGGUUAACCGUAUAGGGGAGCCGCAGGGAAACCGAGUCUUAACUGGGCGUUAAGUUGCAGGGUAUAGACCCGAAACCCGGUGAUCUAGCCAUGGGCAGGUUGAAGGUUGGGUAACACUAACUGGAGGACCGAACCGACUAAUGUUGAAAAAUUAGCGGAUGACUUGUGGCUGGGGGUGAAAGGCCAAUCAAACCGGGAGAUAGCUGGUUCUCCCCGAAAGCUAUUUAGGUAGCGCCUCGUGAAUUCAUCUUCGGGGGUAGAGCACUGUUUCGGCUAGGGGGUCAUCCCGACUUACCAACCCGAUGCAAACUACGAAUACCGAAGAAUGUUAUCACGGGAGACACACGGCGGGUGCUAACGUCCGUCGUGAAGAGGGAAACAACCCAGACCGCCAGCUAAGGUCCCAAAGUCAUGGUUAAGUGGGAAACGAUGUGGGAAGGCACAGACAGCCAGGAUGUUGGCUUAGAAGCAGCCAUCAUUUAAAGAAAGCGUAAUAGCUCACUGGUCGAGUCGGCCUGCGCGGAAGAUGUAACGGGGCUAAACCAUGCACCGAAGCUGCGGCAGCGACACUAUGUGUUGUUGGGUAGGGGAGCGUUCUGUAAGCCUGCGAAGGUGACCUGUGAGGGUUGCUGGAGGUAUCAGAAGUGCGAAUGCUGACAUAAGUAACGAUAAAGCGGGUGAAAAGCCCGCUCGCCGGAAGACCAAGGGUUCCUGUCCAACGUUAAUCGGGGCAGGGUGAGUCGACCCCUAAGGCGAGGCCGAAAGGCGUAGUCGAUGGGAAACAGGUUAAUAUUCCUGUACUUGGUGUUACUGCGAAGGGGGGACGGAGAAGGCUAUGUUAGCCGGGCGACGGUUGUCCCGGUUUAAGCAUGUAGGCUGGUUAUCCAGGCAAAUCCGGAUAAUCAAGGCUGAGGUGUGAUGACGAGGCACUACGGUGCUGAAGUAACAAAUGCCCUGCUUCCAGGAAAAGCCUCUAAGCAUCAGGUAACAUCAAAUCGUACCCCAAACCGACACAGGUGGUCAGGUAGAGAAUACCAAGGCGCUUGAGAGAACUCGGGUGAAGGAACUAGGCAAAAUGGUGCCGUAACUUCGGGAGAAGGCACGCUGGUGUGUAGGUGAAGCCCCUGCGGGUGGAGCUGAGACCAGUCGAAGCUACCAGCUGGCUGCAACUGUUUAUUAAAAACACAGCACUGUGCAAACACGAAAGUGGACGUAUACGGUGUGACGCCUGCCCGGUGCCGGAAGGUUAAUUGAUGGGGUUAUCCGUAAGGAGAAGCUCUUGAUCGAAGCCCCGGUAAACGGCGGCCGUAACUAUAACGGUCCUAAGGUAGCGAAAUUCCUUGUCGGGUAAGUUCCGACCUGCACGAAUGGCGUAAUGAUGGCCAGGCUGUCUCCACCCGAGACUCAGUGAAAUUGAACUCGCUGUGAAGAUGCAGUGUACCCGCGGCAAGACGGAAAGACCCCGUGAACCUUUACUAUAGCUUGACACUGAACAUUGAGCCUUGAUGUGUAGGAUAGGUGGGAGGCUUUGAAGCGUGGACGCCAGUCUGCGUGGAGCCAACCUUGAAAUACCACCCUUUAAUGUUUGAUGUUCUAACGUUGGCCCCUUAUCGGGGUUGCGGACAGUGUCUGGUGGGUAGUUUGACUGGGGCGGUCUCCUCCCAAAGCGUAACGGAGGAGCACGAAGGUUAGCUAAUCCUGGUCGGACAUCAGGAGGUUAGUGCAAUGGCAUAAGCUAGCUUGACUGCGAGCGUGACGGCGCGAGCAGGUGCGAAAGCAGGUCAUAGUGAUCCGGUGGUUCUGAAUGGAAGGGCCAUCGCUCAACGGAUAAAAGGUACUCCGGGGAUAACAGGCUGAUACCGCCCAAGAGUUCAUAUCGACGGCGGUGUUUGGCACCUCGAUGUCGGCUCAUCACAUCCUGGGGCUGAAGUAGGUCCCAAGGGUAUGGCUGUUCGCCAUUUAAAGUGGUACGCGAGCUGGGUUUAGAACGUCGUGAGACAGUUCGGUCCCUAUCUGCCGUGGGCGCUGGAGAAUUGAGGGGGGCUGCUCCUAGUACGAGAGGACCGGAGUGGACGCAUCACUGGUGUUCGGGUUGUCAUGCCAAUGGCACUGCCCGGUAGCUAAAUGCGGAAGAGAUAAGUGCUGAAAGCAUCUAAGCACGAAACUUGCCCCGAGAUGAGUUCUCCCUGAGACUAUAAGUCUCCUGAAGGAACGUUAAAGACGAUGACGUUGAUAGGCCGGGUGUGUAAGCGCAGCGAUGCGUUGAGCUAACCGGUACUAAUGAACCGUGAGGCUUAACCUU